CGUCAAGUCACGCAAUUUACUACGCAUUCACAUCGUUCCUCCUCACCCCUCAUCUACCUCCACCCCCCUCGCUCUGCUUCUUCGCGGCGGAAGGGAAAUCCACCUGAGGGACCAAGGUGGAGCAACAGCGCCCUCGCCGUCGAACUACUGGGCGGCGGCCAGGAUCACUCUCCUCCGCCGGGCCGACAAGUGCCGGGGGCGGGGUGUGUGCAGGCUCAACAUCAUCCGGCCGGGCAAAGCGGGGGUAGAGAGGGAAGAUGACUGAUUUUUUUAGCGGGAUCCAAGCUGGUAUGGUUGUCAAUCGAUUAGAGAACAGCGAACAGUCGCCCGAAGAUUGGAACAGUGAUGGGGAUGGUUCAGGCGGCUCAACUGGUUUGCCCGAAUCACCAUGUUUCACGUCCAGGCUCUUUACUGACAGAGGCACCCGCAGCCUGAAAGCUGCAGAGGCAUACUUAAGCAGAUGCAUAACAGAAUCAUCUACUCAAUUAGAGCAGGACUGCUUCAAAAUUGCUUUUGUUAUAAGAACAUGAAUCUUGAAUCGCCACAUGGGUUGUGCUCAAAGUGGGUUCAGUCAUAAGCAAAUUUUCUGAAUUCAAGCGCCAAUUAGUCAGGGAAACUGGAUUCGAUGGAAUGCUUGAGCUAAAAUCAUGGUAGAAGAUCAACCUGAAAUACAACGCUUAUCUAAUGGAUAGAGUCGAUGUAGAUUCAAGUAUAAUAAAUCUUGAGCGCCUAGGGGUUAUUGAACUAUGUGACAAGAACAUGAAUUAUGUGUUUAGCAUCCCAUGUGGCGAUUCAACCAUAGAAGGCGAAGGAGUCGAGCCGUCAGCAGCUUGCAUUGAGUAUACCCGUGUGCCAGCAUCGUUUACUGACGGAGGCACCCGCAGCCUGAAAGCUGCAGAGGCAUACUUAAGCAGAUGCAUAACAGAAUCAUCUACUCAAUUAGAGCAGGACUGCUUCAAAAUUGCUUUUGUUAUAAGAACAUGAAUCUUGAAUCGCCACAUGGGUUGUGCUCAAAGUGGGUUCAGUCAUAAGCAAAUUUUCUGAAUUCAAGCGCCAAUUAGUCAGGGAAACUGGAUUCGAUGGAAUGCUUGAGCUAAAAUCAUGGUAGAAGAUCAACCUGAAAUACAACGCUUAUCUAAUGGAUAGAGUCGAUGUAGAUUCAAGUAUAAUAAAUCUUGAGCGCCUAGGGGUUAUUGAACUAUGUGACAAGAACAUGAAUUAUGUGUUUAGCAUCCCAUGUGGCGAUUCAACCAUAGAAGGCGAAGGAGUCGAGCCGUCAGCAGCUUGCAUUGAGUAUACCCGUGUGCCAGCAUCGUUUACUGACGGAGGCACCCGCAGCCUGAAAGCUGCAGAGGCAUACUUAAGCAGAUGCAUAACAGAAUCAUCUACUCAAUUAGAGCAGGACUGCUUCAAAAUUGCUUUUGUUAUAAGAACAUGAAUCUUGAAUCGCCACAUGGGUUGUGCUCAAAGUGGGUUCAGUCAUAAGCAAAUUUUCUGAAUUCAAGCGCCAAUUAGUCAGGGAAACUGGAUUCGAUGGAAUGCUUGAGCUAAAAUCAUGGUAGAAGAUCAACCUGAAAUACAACGCUUAUCUAAUGGAUAGAGUCGAUGUAGAUUCAAGUAUAAUAAAUCUUGAGCGCCUAGGGGUUAUUGAACUAUGUGACAAGAACAUGAAUUAUGUGUUUAGCAUCCCAUGUGGCGAUUCAACCAUAGAAGGCGAAGGAGUCGAGCCGUCAGCAGCUUGCAUUGAGUAUACCCGUGUGCCAGCAUCGUUUACUGACGGAGGCACCCGCAGCCUGAAAGCUGCAGAGGCAUACUUAAGCAGAUGCAUAACAGAAUCAUCUACUCAAUUAGAGCAGGACUGCUUCAAAAUUGCUUUUGUUAUAAGAACAUGAAUCUUGAAUCGCCACAUGGGUUGUGCUCAAAGUGGGUUCAGUCAUAAGCAAAUUUUCUGAAUUCAAGCGCCAAUUAGUCAGGGAAACUGGAUUCGAUGGAAUGCUUGAGCUAAAAUCAUGGUAGAAGAUCAACCUGAAAUACAACGCUUAUCUAAUGGAUAGAGUCGAUGUAGAUUCAAGUAUAAUAAAUCUUGAGCGCCUAGGGGUUAUUGAACUAUGUGACAAGAACAUGAAUUAUGUGUUUAGCAUCCCAUGUGGCGAUUCAACCAUAGAAGGCGAAGGAGUCGAGCCGUCAGCAGCUUGCAUUGAGUAUACCCGUGUGCCAGCAUCGUUUACUGACGGAGGCACCCGCAGCCUGAAAGCUGCAGAGGCAUACUUAAGCAGAUGCAUAACAGAAUCAUCUACUCAAUUAGAGCAGGACUGCUUCAAAAUUGCUUUUGUUAUUUUUGUUGUUGGUCAUGUGCUGGCACCUGCUGCGAAGCACGAUUAUAUAUCAAUUGAUUUCUGGGCUGCACUGAAUGAUAUCAGCAAGAUAAAGGAUUGGAAUUGGGGAGGAUACGUGUUGAAAAAUCUUUUUCAAGCUGUCAAAAAGUUCAAGGCAGAUGUUUUGAGGAGAAACCCAACCGUGCAUAUAGUUGGAUGUCAUCUGUUUCUGCAGCUUUUUGUGCUUGAUAGCCUCGAGCUGGGUGUUCUAAACAGGGCAAGAGGUGUAACCCCGCGUAUAGGCUUGUAAGACUAUGAGUCGAUCAAGAAUAUGGUUGGGAAAAUUACAAUGAAUUUUGCCCCGGGCGAAGUUUCCUUUCACGGCGCACCGGUGCGGAGCGAGCUCUCCGUGAGAAACCGAAGUGUGUGCCGUCCAAAGGAAGUUUGUGCAACAAAAACACCAAAGCCCACGACAGCGCCCAAAAAGGCAAAUGCAACGUGCACACCAAUUCCACGGAAUAGCUAUGCCAAAACCGGCGCGCAAGAGUUUUCAAAUUAUAUACGAACACACUACCGAAGCAUAUCAGCGGAGAAACUCGGCGUGCUUCUCCGGGAGCAGAAUGCCCGUGGGCUAGCAAAUAUUACAGAAAUGCGUCAAGCCUUCCAGUCCAAUAUGUUCACUUUCACUGACAAGCUAAUGACAUGCAUAGCAGAUAGCUGCACUUGUCAUCGCUCGUCUCUUUGCUCUGUCACAUCACUAUUUACCACACGCACACACGGAGGCCAAGGU